UUGUACCAUAGCAUCGCAAAGCAUCAUAACAUAGUCUUUUCAUGAAAAUAUUAACUUUGAACAUACCUGGGCCGUAGGAUGAGAUUGAUGGAUGGAUGCAAGAUGCCAUGGAGUAUCUUAGACUUUUUUUUUAACAUAUUCUUCUAUGACUAAACCACCGGUUAGUUAAGUAAAAUAAGUAGCAUUCCGGUCCACAAGGGGUCGGGGCGUUACAAAAUCACUGUUGAAGAAUGUAUUUUGAUGUAAAAUGGGGCUCAAACAAGGGCUAAAUGAUGAACGCAUCUUUGUUUUGCAAGACAUGUUCAUGAAUUAUGCACAAAAAUCUAACUUAUUAAAUGCAUUUAUUAUUUUCACUAGGACUUAAGAUUGG
rnacentral:lncRNA from 1 species